rnacentral:lncRNA from 1 species
CCUUGAUAGUAGGAUAGCAAAGGGUCCCCUCUGAUGACACCCCCAGGCUUCAGGCAUCCAGACCCUCCUGGAAGCCUGGAGAUGCUCCUGAAGCUCAAGGAGCCACUUCAGGGUCAGAGAGCAGAGCCAGGCCACGGUGGAAAGCUGAGCUGCUUCAGAACCUUGUUAAUUGGUUAUUAAUGGAAGGGAGAGUAGGGGAGGGCAGUGGAGAGUCUCUGCUGCAGGCCUCAGUCCUCAGUGCAAUCCUUGUGGUUUCACUUAAUCUGCAAUUAAAGCAGAUCCCAGGAGGCAGAAGGAACUGCCCUACUGCAUCCCAGUCCUGUCACCCAAAAGACACUGCAAGCUCUCCUCACAUAUCCAUUAUGUGGCUUUUAUGUCCUUUUUACCUCUGCUCUCAAUUACUCCUGUGUGUGUGUGUGUGUGUGUGUGUGUGUGUGUGUGUGUGUGUGUGUGGUGUAGUGUGGGGCUCUCCUGAGGGGCUUGGCCUUCCUCUCCUGCCCACCUCCUCCCUUCAGCAGAUGGGCUCAGGUAAUGGAUGGGACUGUCUUCAGACACAAGUUUGGGGGAGGAAAGAGAAGUGGAGAGGUUAAAGGGAAGAUGUCCCAACAUCAGAGACUGACUAAGGACAUCCCAAUGCCGAGGGACUAGUCCAGACGAUCCUGGGGCCAUUGAGGGGGCUUCUCCUGGCUAAGCAUCUGGAACAUGAUCUGGGGAGAAACCGGAUCCACAGAAGGGGACCAGAGGAGGGUGAGUGAUUAAUGAGGGAUGGUAACAGAUUAAACCUGGGCUCUGGGCUUGAGGGGAGUGAGUGGAUCAGCUGUCUCAUACUUUCCCCUGCAGAAACUGGGGGGAGCACAAAAACUUCCUGAUGCCCAGUUGUUUUGCACCUGUGGUGAUAUUUUGUUUGUGACCUAACAAAUAAAGCUUGCCUGGAGAUCAAAGAGGAGCCAGCCACUAGAGAGACUGAAAUCCUGGAAUCCUCAGACUGAAUGCUCUGAGCUCCUGUCUCCUCCCACCUUAUAUUCCUCUCUCCUCCCAGCCAUAUCACUCCUGUCUCCACCUUCCUAGUGCCGGGAUUAAAGGCGUGUGACUCCCAAGUACUUGGAUCAAAGGAUUGUGUAUCUACGUGGUGACCAGAUCCAUUGAGUUCUGCACCCCCCCCCCAGAAGCAUAGGCGUGAUUUCCCAAUAUGAGAUGCAAGUGACCUUGGGGUCAUGGUGGGAAAAGAAAAAGGAGUCUGCAUUCGUAACCACUGGAGAUGCAGGGCAGCCACUGCCCUGACAGGACAAAGAUCGCAACCAUCCACCGUUCCAGCCAGAUCCAGACCUUAGCACUUUCAGUCAUCCCGAGCCUCAAAGCAAAGGCCACAUCUCCAAGCAUGGAUGCUUAAGACUCCUGAGCUAGGACCCUAGUCUUCAGACCCGACUUAAUUAAAACGAAAAUAUUUAUUUAGCUUCCGG